rnacentral:misc_RNA from 1 species
GAUGAAGAACGCAGUGAAAUGCGAUAAGUAAUGUGAAUUGCAGAAUUCAGUGAAUCAUCGAAUCUUUGAACGCACCUUGCGCCCUUUGGCAUUCCGAAGGGCAUGCCUGUUUGAGUAUCAUGAACACCUCAACUCUUCAUGGUUUUCCAUGAUGAGCUUGGACUUUGGGGGUCUUGCUGGCCUGCGGUCGGCUCCUCUCAAAUGAAUCAGCUUACCAGUGUUUGGUGGGCAUCACAGGUGUGAUAACUAUCUGCGCUUGUGGUUUUCCACCAAGUAACCUUCAGCAGUGGAGGUUCACUGGAGCUCACAGACGUCUCUCCUCAGUGAGGACAGCCCUUUGAAUGUUUGAUCUCAAAUCAGGUAGGACUACCCGCUGAACUUAAGCAUAUCAAUAAGGGAGGA